rnacentral:sRNA from 1 species
GAAACCACUACAUUUAGCUGCGUCAA